GGCAGAGACUUUGGCCUGGUGACAUACAGAGAAACAACCUCCUUAGGAGGCCAGGCCUGUUCAGAAAGGAGGUUAUGCUCCUGUUAGGGACAGCAGGCUUCUUAUGCAACAUUCAUCCUGGGCUCUCUGGAAACCAAACCCUGGUUUCUGUAAUACAUAGGAGAUCCGAAGGGAGCAGUCUGAAAGAUCGUACCUGGUAUGUUACAUUCAGGGAAGAAAAAUCAAGAUAGUUGGGGGAGAGGAGACUUGAGGUUGAGCAGCCAGUGCCUAGCCUUUAUGUUGAACUCCAGGGACUGUCUUCCAGAGGACACUUUGGUACACAAACUGCUAGGAAGCCAAGACAGAUCAUCUCAUAAAAGAUUCAUUUGUUUUUGUAACGCUGUCGUGGGAAGAAGUUGAGGACCAAGGUGCAACAUGGCCUGAGCCCUAGGACCAUGCCCCAGGACUACCUGGCCUGAUGAUUCCUGGCUGUCCCCAGUCCACCUGGUCGUGCUGCUGCUCCAGUUUAAACUGUUCUGCCUGCGGUCUUGGAACCCUGACCUGUUCACCGGAUGUGCUACCUUGUCCCUUGUUUACAACCACUGUGAUUAUUAUUUGACCCUGCUGGUCAUCUAUUAACCAUUUGAAAAUCUUAGAACAAUCUGUCCUUAAUGGCCAUGUACUCUUAUAAUCUCCAUCCGGCACAGCCAGUAGAGGACUGGCCACCCCUCAGAGCUUGGUUCCUCUCUAGGUUUCUUUGUAAGGAGUUUUUAAUAGGCACUGCAAUCUGCAUUGCUUGCUGUUUUGGGUUUUAGGCUGGGUUUCUGUAAAACACUUUGUGAUAUAAGCUGAUGUAAAAGGGCUUUAUGAAUGCAUUUGAUUGAUUGAUAAUAUUUCAAAUUGAGCUAUAUUGUAUGCAAUUUUUAAAAUUUUUAUUUUAUUUUAUAAUAAUACAAUUGCUCAGAUUUUGUUUAACAAGUAAUACAAUAGAAAAACAUGAAAUA